ACGAACGCUGGCGGCACGCUUAACACAUGCAAGUCGAACGAGAGAAGAGGAGCUUGCUUUUCUGAUCUAGUGGCGGACGGGUGAGUAACACGUGAGCAAUCUGCCUUUCAGAGGGGGAUACCGAUUGGAAACGAUCGUUAAUACCGCAUAACAUAAUUGAACCGCAUGAUUUGAUUAUCAAAGAUUUAUCGCUGAAAGAUGAGCUCGCGUCUGAUUAGCUAGUUGGUAAGGUAACGGCUUACCAAGGCGACGAUCAGUAGCCGGACUGAGAGGUUGAUCGGCCACAUUGGGACUGAGACACGGCCCAGACUCCUACGGGAGGCAGCAGUGGGGAAUAUUGCACAAUGGAGGAAACUCUGAUGCAGCGAUGCCGCGUGAGGGAAGAAGGUUUUAGGAUUGUAAACCUCUGUCUUCAGGGACGAAAAAAGACGGUACCUGAGGAGGAAGCUCCGGCUAACUACGUGCCAGCAGCCGCGGUAAUACGUAGGGAGCGAGCGUUGUCCGGAAUUACUGGGUGUAAAGGGAGCGUAGGCGGGAUCGCAAGUCAGAUGUGAAAACUAUGGGCUUAACCCAUAAACUGCAUUUGAAACUGUGGUUCUUGAGUGAAGUAGAGGUAAGCGGAAUUCCUAGUGUAGCGGUGAAAUGCGUAGAUAUUAGGAGGAACAUCAGUGGCGAAGGCGGCUUACUGGGCUUUAACUGACGCUGAGGCUCGAAAGCGUGGGGAGCAAACAGGAUUAGAUACCCUGGUAGUCCAGGCCGUAAACGAUGAUUACUAGGUGUGGGGGGACUGACCCCUUCCGUGCCGCAGCAAACGCAAUAAGUAAUCCACCUGGGGAGUACGACCGCAAGGUUGAAACUCAAAGGAAUUGACGGGGGCCCGCACAAGCAGUGGAGUAUGUGGAUUAAUUCGAAGCAACGCGAAGAACCUUACCAGGUCUUGACAUCGUAUGCAUAGCUCAGAGAUGAGUGAAAUCUCUUCGGAGACAUAUAGACAGGUGGUGCAUGGUUGUCGUCAGCUCGUGUCGUGAGAUGUUGGGUUAAGUCCCGCAACGAGCGCAACCCUUACUGUUAGUUGCUACGCAAGAGCACUCUAGCAGGACUGCCGUUGACAAAACGGAGGAAGGUGGGGAUGACGUCAAAUCAUCAUGCCCCUUAUGACCUGGGCCUCACACGUACUACAAUGGCUGUCAACAGAGGGAAGCAAAGCCGCGAGGUGGAGCAAACCCCUAAAAGCAGUCUUAGUUCGGAUUGUAGGCUGCAACCCGCCUACAUGAAGUCGGAAUUGCUAGUAAUCGCAGAUCAGCAUGCUGCGGUGAAUACGUUCCCGGGCCUUGUACACACCGCCCGUCACGCCAUGGGAGUCGGUAACACCCGAAGCCUGUAGUCUAACCGCAAGGAGGACGCAGUCGAAGGUGGGAUUGAUGACUGGGGUG
rnacentral:rRNA from 1 species